rnacentral:lncRNA from 1 species
GAAAAAGAAAAAGAAAAGAACUCGAUGGAGCACAAGUAGCUGAGUAAUGCCCCAGGAAGCCGGCAUCAUUGUUGGACAGCUCAGAUGUUCAGGAUGUUUCAUUUUGAGCCUACCUCAUUGGAAUUUCAAAAUAUUGGCCUCUUUGGAGCAAUACAGAGCAAGUCUGUUCCUUCAAGUAGGUGAAAAGCUCCCUGCAUGUCUUCCAUUGGACUUCUCCCCUUUAGCUUAAAAAUAUCCACAGUCCUGAAACAUGGCUCAGAAGCAGAUAUUACCCAAACCCUACUCUUAGAGCUCAGCCAGCCAGCCACAUGCAGGACCCUGAAGCAAAUAAGAGGCGGUGACCUGAGAAGCUACAUAUUGACAUGGCGCUACCACGGGUGGAGGAGCCUGCAUUGCUGAAUCACAGGAUGAAGGCGAAUCCCUGCCAGCCUCCAUCCAUCUCUGGGUGGCAAUUUUGGCAGAACAUCAUAAAUUUUUGCCCUGCAUCUAGGGUGCUUAGCAGAAUCCUCAGCUCACAAGAUGAAUAAAUGCAGACUAAAUGAUGCAAAAAUAAUCUUCACACACAACCAUCAACACACGGAAAGACAGCAGGACGGCCAGAUCCCAAGCUAACAAACAGGGGAAGAUGAUGUUUCAAAUGAUCAUCUGAAUGCUGGGUUUCCACCUUCC